ACCUGUGUGGCUCAGUCGGUUGAGCAUCUGACUCUUGAUUUCUGCUCAGGUCAUGAUCUCAGAGUUGUAGGAUAAAGCCCUGUCUCAGGCU
rnacentral:tRNA from 1 species